UAAAAAACGAUGAAGAGAAGAGUAGCCAAGAUAGCUGCUUCAGAGAGCCCGGCUGGUGGAAAAGGGUACAGUGACGGUUGGUGAAGAUGAACUCAGAGUAUUAGUGAGGUAAAAGCUUCACUAACGGUCGCAACCGAUAGCUUGCCAACAUUGAUCGAUGUUUUUGAGGCGCCAUAAUUAUUGGCGUAAAGAUGGGUGGUAACACGGUGAAUAAUCGUCCCUAAU
rnacentral:ncRNA from 1 species